rnacentral:rRNA from 1 species
UACGUAGGGUCCGAGCGUUGUCCGGAAUUAUUGGGCGUAAAGAGCUCGUAGGCGGUUUGUCGCGUCUGCUGUGAAAUCCCGAGGCUCAACCUCGGGUCUGCAGUGGGUACGGGCAGACUGGAGUGCGGUAGGGGAGAAUGGAAUUCCUGGUGUAGCGGUGGAAUGCGCAGAUAUCAGGAGGAACACCGGUGGCGAAGGCGGGUCUCUGGGCCGUAACUGACGCUGAGGAGCGAAAGCAUGGGGAGCGAACAGG